rnacentral:lncRNA from 1 species
UUUCUUUACUAAAAUUUAAUUAUCUCAUUGCACAUGACUUGGAUGAUGUUCCCGUUUAUUUCUCUUGAAAUAGACUCAUUAAAGAUUCUAAGCAUAUAAAUUAUAGCCUGUAAUUAUUUUUAUACAAUUUUUAAUGAUUUUCCCAAUUCAAAAUAGGGAAUUCCAAAAUCAAUCUGACAUUGUCUCACAAAAAUUCGAAUUCAUACCAAAUUAGUCAAAUUCUAUUUUAUACCAUAGCCAAAUCUAAAUUUAUUUAUUUCAUCCUUACAUUUACAAUUUCAAAAUGACAUACACGUAAGACAUCCUAGGUACAUGCCAUUACCAAUAAUUAACACACUUUACCUUAAUGGAUUUGGGAUCGGACUUGGAUGCUGAUUCAACGUUCUAUCUUUACUAAACCUGCGCACGGAAACAAACCGUACGCUGAGUAUGGUAUACUCAGUGGUAUUUUUAUAAUCCGAACACUUGAUAAUAUAACAAUUAAACUUAAAAUCACAAUGAUAAAUAUAACCAUUCAUUUAUUUAUUUUAUAGAUAAGUUUCAUUUACUUACCAUAAAAAUUCUAUACAAGCCAUAUAACAAACACAACAACAUAUUUGUUCAAUUCUUUUCAUUUGCUUACUGUAUAAAUUCUUUCAAUAUAUUCACAAUUCACUUGUAUUCACACUUUACUUCUUAACAAUAUACCAUUUUAAUUCAUUCUAACAUCAAUCAUCAUCCAUUUGAACUUCACUCAUUUCAUGAACAUUUUGGUUCAUGUUUUCAAUCUCAUAUCUCAAUUUCAAUUCUCAAUUCAAUUUCUCAUUUCAUUCCAAUAGUUCAAUCAAUCAAAUUCACUCGAUUUAUCUUUUCACUUAUUUGCCCCUAUUAACAAACUCGGACUUUGACGGAUACACGGAUUCCAACCCAAACACACCAGUACGGCACAUUGUGCCUAAAACGGUACAUAGUACCUGAUCAGUAUAUGACACAUAAAGUGCCUAAAACGACACACGAGGUGCCUGAUACGACACACGAGGUGCCUGAAAUACGACACAUAAAGUGCCUAAUCGGUAAAGCCGGCAAAUCCCGUACACUUUCAGAUCCUAUGGCAUGCCAAUUAUAUCCGACUCAGCCCGACUAGUUAAUAGGGUAUUUCAUUCACUUUCUCAAUUUAAUAAUUCUUUCAUCAGUAUACCAUUCUGAUAAUCACAUAUAUUUACCCAUUUUCACAAUUCAUACAAUUUCAUUCAAUUCAACAAUAUAUUUCAAUUAUUCACAUUAAUUCAUAAUUCAAUACAAUUCAAUUCAUUUUUCAAUAUCAAAUAUUCAAAUUUCUACAUAAAUCAUAUAUAUUAUAUAAUUCAAUCAAUAUAAAUUCAAUCAAAAUAAUUUCAAUCAAUAUAAAUUUAUCACACACUAAAUCAAUUCAUUUCAAUUAUAAAGACACAAUACAAAUAAUUCCCAUCUUAAUUAUUUAUCAUAAUAUUUAUCCAAAACUCAAUUAUCAUAAUUGCAUAAAUCUCAUUCACACACACACACACACAUAUAUAUAUAUAAUUCAAUUUAAUUCAAUCAAUAUAAAUUCAUCACAUACCAAAUUAAUCCAUUUCCAUUAUAAACACAAUAAUUCUCACUUCAACAUUUAUUAAAUGCAUUGAAUAAAAAAAUAUAACAAUUAAUAACUAGGUUCGGAUUAUAGAAAUACAAACCGUAUUUUCUCGAGCUAACUCCCUUUGUCUUUGCCAUUUUUUCCUUUCUUAGCCGAGGUUUCCCGAGACAACAUUAGCUACGGGAAUUAAAAAAAUUCAUAUUCGUUAAUUCACUACUAAUUUAUAUCUAAUUAAUACAAUUUUUAUUCAAUUUCUACUUUAAUUUCAAUUUAAUCUUAACUAGAUUCACUUACUUUUUCUAUCUCAAUUCAUACUUCAUUUCUAUUCAAAUUUUGUCCAAACUCAUACUUAACUAUUAAAUUUCCAGCAUAUUUUCAUAAUUUUGAAUUUAUUUCCAUUUAAUCCCUAAAAUUCAAAACUUAUAGAUUAGUUUACGAUUCAAUCCUUUAUUCAAUUCUAAUCAAAAUUUCUAUCAAAUAAACCCCCAAUUCCAUCAUUUUAUUCAACAUGAACCAUACUUAGAAAUCUAAUGACUUUCAAAAUUUCUACUUAAAACAAGUAGUAUAUAUCUCUAGGAUUCCAAAAACUCAAAAAUCAUAAGAAAAUGGGCUAAAUUGACUUACCAAAUUAACUUGGAACCUUUAAAACCUUAUUUUUCCCUUUUUCUUUUCUUCCUUUCUCCCUUCUCUGUUUCAUCCCCUGCUACUCUGUUUCUUUCCUCUUUUUAUUCUUUUGUUUC